rfam:Gossypium arboreum cultivar AKA8401 contig_7408_5, whole genome shotgun sequence.
UGUUAAAAAUUUUAUUUAUUUAUCCUGUUAAAAACUGGUAUGUGUGACGAAAUAACAUGAUAGUGACACGUGGUAUGCCAUAUGUAUCUCAUGUGACUUACAAUGAUCAGUUUUUAACAAUGAAAUGAAUGAAAUUUUUAACA